AGUAAAAUGGCUGAAAUUAGGCAAUAAAUUGUAAAUUUAUUUAUAAAUAUUAAUAUUUUUUUACUA
rnacentral:tRNA from 1 species